rnacentral:rRNA from 1 species
AUUGAACGCUGGCGGAAUGCUUUGCACAUGCAAGUCGAGCGGCAGCGCGGGGGCAACCCUGGCGGCGAGCGGCGAACGGGUGAGUAACAUAUCGGAACGUACCCAGUAAUGGGGGAUAACUACCCGAAAGGGUAGCUAAUACCGCAUACGCCCUGAGGGGGAAAGCGGGGGAUCGGAAACGACCUCGCGUUAUUGGAGCGGCCGAUAUCGGAUUAGCUAGUUGGUGGGGUAAAGGCCUACCAAGGCGACGAUCCGUAGCGGGUCUGAGAGGACCACCCGCCAGACUGGAACUGAGACACGGUCCAGACUCCGACGGGAGGCAGCAGUGGGGAAUUUUGGACAAUGGGGGCAACCCUGAUCCAGCCAUUCCGCGUGAGUGAAGAAGGCCUUAGGGUUGUAAAGCUCUUUCGGCAGGAACGAAACGGUGGGCUCUAACAUAGCCUGCUAAUGACGGUACCUGAAGAAGAAGCACCGGCUAACUACGUGCCAGCAGCCGCCGUAA